rnacentral:rRNA from 1 species
UACGGAAGGUCCGAGCGUUAUCCGGAUUUAUUGGGUUUAAAGGGAGCGCAGGCGGGAUGUUAAGUCAGCCGUUAAAGUUCGGGGCCCAACCCCGUGUUGCGGUUGAUACUGGCGUCCUUGAGUCCGCAAGAGGCCGGUGGAAUUCGUGGUGUAGCGGUGAAAUGCAUAGAUAUCACGAGGAACUCCGAUUGCGAAGGCAGCCGGCUGGGGCGCGACUGACGCUCAUGCUCGAAGGCGCGGGUAUCAAACA